rnacentral:rRNA from 1 species
GAUGAACGCUAGCGGCAGGCCUAAUACAUGCAAGACGAACGGUAAGUUGAGUAGCAAUACUUAGCCAAGAGUGUCGUACGGGUGCGUAACACGUAUGCAACCUACCCUAUACAGGAGGAUAGCCUAGGGAAACCUGGAUUAACCCUUCAUAGUAUUAUUGGAUGGCAUCAUUUGAUAAUUAAAACUGAGGUGGUAUAGGAUGGGCAUGCGUCUGAUUAGUUAGUUGGCGGGGUAAUGGCCCACCAAGACGAUGAUCAGUAGGGGUUCUGAGAGGAAGAUCCCCCACACUGGCACUGAGAUACGGGCCAGACUCCUACGGGAGGCAGCAGUAGGGAAUAUUGGUCAAUGGAUGCAAGUCUGAACCAGCCAUGCCGCGUGCAGGAAGAAGGCCUUUCUGGGGUUGUAAAACUGCUUUUGCAGGGGAUAAAAUUUCCAUGCGUGGAAAACUGAAGGUACCUGGUGAAU